rnacentral:rRNA from 1 species
GACGAACGCUGGCGGCGUGCUUAACACAUGCAAGUCGAACGGAAAGGCCCUGCUUUUGUGGUGGGCUCGAGUGGCGAACGGGUGUGUAACACGUGAAUAACCUGCUCUUGUCUUUGGUAUAACUUCAGGAAACUGGGGAUAAUACCGUAUAGGAGCUCCUGCCGCGUGGUGGGGGUUGGAAAGUUUCGGCGGUUGGGGAUGGACUCGCGGCUUAUCAGCUUGUUGGUGGGGUAGUGGCUUACCAAGGCCUUGACGGGUAGCCGGCCUGAGAGGGUGACCGGCCACACUGGGACUGAGAUACGGCCCAGACUCCUACGGGAGGCAGCAGUGGGGAAUAUUGCACAAUGGGCGGAAGCCUGAUGCAGCAACGCCGCGUGAGGGAUGACGGCCUUCGGGUUGUAAACCGCUUUCGGCUGUGAAGAAGCGAGAGUGACGGUACUGGCAAAAGAAGCACCGGCUAACUACGUG